GACGAAGGGGGCUAGCGUUGUUCGGAAUUACUGGGCGUAAAGCGCGUGUAGGCGGCCAUCUAAGUCGGGCGUGAAAGCCCACGGCUCAACCGUGGAGGGUCAUUGGAAACUGGGGGACUUGAGUACAGAAGAGAAGAGUGGAAUUCCACGUGUAGCGGUGAAAUGCGUAGAGAUGUGGAGGAACACCAGUGGCGAAGGCGACUCUUUGGUCUGUAACUGACGCUGAGGCGCGAAAGCGUGGGGAGCAAACAGG
rnacentral:rRNA from 1 species